AUGAAGGGUGCAAGCGUUAAUCGGAAUUACUGGGCGUAAAGCGCGCGUAGGUGGUUCAGCAAGUUGGAUGUGAAAUCCCCGGGCUCAACCUGGGAACUGCAUCCGAGACUGCAUUGCUAGAGUAUGGGAGAGGGAAGCGGAAUUCCUGGUGUAGCAGUGAAAUGCGUAGAUAUCAGAAGGAACAUCAGUGGCGAAGGCGGCUUCCUGGACCAAUACUGACGAUCAGGUGCGAAAGCGUGGGGAGCAAACAGGA
rnacentral:rRNA from 1 species